AGAGUUUGAUCCUGGCUCAGGAUGAACGCUAGCGACAGGCCUAACACAUGCAAGUCGAGGGGCAGCGGGGAGGUAGCAAUACCUUUGCCGGCGACCGGCGCACGGGUGAGUAACACGUAUGCAAUCCACCUGUAACAGGGGGAUAACCCGGAGAAAUCCGGACUAAUACCCCAUAAUAUGGGCGCUCCGCAUGGAGAGUUCAUUAAAGAGAGCAAUUUUGGUUACAGACGAGCAUGCGCUCCAUUAGCCAGUUGGCGGGGUAACGGCCCACCAAAGCGACGAUGGAUAGGGGUUCUGAGAGGAAGGUCCCCCACAUUGGAACUGAGACACGGUCCAAACUCCUACGGGAGGCAGCAGUGAGGAAUAUUGGUCAAUGGUCGGCAGACUGAACCAGCCAAGUCGCGUGAGGGAAGACGGCCCUACGGGUUGUAAACCUCUUUUGUCGGAGAGUAAAGUACGCUACGUGUAGCGUAUUGCAAGUAUCCGAAGAAAAAGCAUCGGCUAACUCCGUGCCAGCAGCCGCGGUAAUACGGAGGAUGCGAGCGUUAUCCGGAUUUAUUGGGUUUAAAGGGUGCGUAGGCGGCACGCCAAGUCAGCGGUGAAAUUUCCGGGCUCAACCCGGAGUGUGCCGUUGAAACUGGCGAGCUAGAGUACACAAGAGGCAGGCGGAAUGCGUGGUGUAGCGGUGAAAUGCAUAGAUAUCACGCAGAACCCCGAUUGCGAAGGCAGCCUGCUAGGGUGAAACAGACGCUGAGGCACGAAAGCGUGGGUAUCGAACAGGAUUAGAUACCCUGGUAGUCCACGCAGUAAACGAUGAAUACUAACUGUUUGCGAUACAAUGUAAGCGGUACAGCGAAAGCGUUAAGUAUUCCACCUGGGGAGUACGCCGGCAACGGUGAAACUCAA
rnacentral:rRNA from 1 species